CUUCCUGGUUCCAGUAGGCUUGCUAGAAGACGCAGGAGGAGAAAGGGAUUCCCCACGCUUCAGAGGUAGAAAGAGCCACCAGCCAUGUGAGAUCUCAGAUUUUAUACAAAGACACAAAGAGAGGAAAUAAAACAGAAGAAGAAAUGAAGGGAAAGAGCACAAAAUUUGAGGAAAACAUCCAAUCGAAAUGUUUUUAGAUCAACUCUGUAGCUCACAGAGAGUGUCCGCUCCAGCCUGUUGCAGUUUUCUCUGAUGUGGCAUCUAUCGCUUCUCUACUGAUUUUUGGGGAAAGCUGGUCUUCAGAACCCUGGGCAUGCACAAAGACUGGAUCUGGGAAACACCAGGUGGAAGAGAAAAAUCCCUGGAAUUUACUUUUUAUGAAGAAAAUUGAAGUAAUACUUUUGCUUACAGGUACAAGUGGCUCAAGGGGACAAGCUCGCAACAGUCCAGCUGGCAUUCUUGCCAGGUAUUUUUAUAAACUACAGAGUUUCCAUCAGUUGGGGACUGAGUAAAGCUCAGCUGAAGGGUCUGUCAGUAUCUCCGUGUCAAAGGGACAUGUCAUACACCGAGGACGUCUCCAUCCAUGUUGCCUUCCAAGCCUUUAAGAGUCUUCUUUGGGAGACAAGAGCACUUUAAGCUCCCGCUCCUUUGGUGUAUCUGGCUUUACUCUCCGUCUUUUCUUCUUGCAUAACAAAGCAAUUUUUACUGGUUUGUGGGACAUCCACAAAGGAGAAAGAUAUUUUAACUUGAUAAUAAAAAGCAAAUAAGAGGAAACAAAAACAAGCAAUUAAGGGGAAAAAAAAGUUUCCUUCCCAGUCAAAAAUUUCCUUACAAAACAUUCAGAAAACUUCCCACACAAUCAAUACCUUACUUAUCUUGGUUUUCAAAGACCUUAGCUUUUGUAAGAAAUGUUAUAAACGUAUAUUAAAGCACAAGACUUGAGCCACCAUCAAUGUCAGGAGGUAAUGUUGGGGGCAGGGGCAGGGGUCACUUGGAAGGAUAUUUGGUUGACUCGAUCAGAACAGCUGCUCUUUAUGGAUUUCAUCAAAUCGUGUGACUUCAUCGGCAAACACGGCGUUUCUUUCUUUUGUGGACUUUUGACCUUUGAUGAUCAUCAAUUUAAGAUCAAGGCCCAUGACCCACCAUCAUUGAUCUGGGACUUAUUAGAAAAAGAAAAUAAAUCAAGAAAUGAAAAGCAAGGUCCACACGAACAAAAGCAUUGUUCAAAGAAGGGCUGCAUAGGUGUGCCAUGUGACGUAACUUGGGGUAAAAAGGUUAAAGGAGAUGCAAACGAAUCAACUGUUAGGCAGUUUAGGCUCAUCUGUCAGAUCCAAAACCCGAUCACUAUUAGGUUACACUAAUAAAGGAGAAAUGAAGAAUUA